rnacentral:tRNA from 1 species
GAGAAUUUAGCUCAAUGGGAGAGCGCCCGACUUGUAAUCGGGAGGUCACAGGUUCAACUCCUGUAAUUCACUCCA